UGUAAGCCUAAUGUUUUGACUUUUUACUUGCAAUGUUUGACCAUUCAUCUUAUUCAAAAAAUUAUGGAAGUAUCAUUUAUUUUGUUUGUGCCUAUUUUAUUAUCAAAAGUACUUUAAGCAUGACUUAUCAUUUUUUAUAUUUGCACUAAAUUUUUGAAUAAGACGAAUGGUCAAACGUUGUAAGCAAAAAGUUAAAACAACUUACA
rnacentral:pre_miRNA from 1 species